rnacentral:rRNA from 1 species
CCUACGGGUGGCAGCAGUGGGGAAUAUUGCACAAUGGGGGAAACCCUGAUGCAGCGACGCCGCGUGAGUGAAGAAGUCUUUCGGGAUGGAAAGCUCUAUCAGCAGGGAAGAAAAUGACGGUACCUGAGUAAGAAGCCCCGGAUAACUCCGGGCAAGCAGCCGCGGUAAUACGUAGGGGGCAAGCGUUAUCCGGAUUUACUGGGUGUAAAGGGAGCGUAGACGGCCGCACAAGUCUGGGGUGAAAUGCCGGGGCUUAACCCCGGACCUGCUUUGGAAACUGUGCAGCUAGAGUGCAGGUGCGGUAAGUGGAAUUCCUGGUGUAGCGGUGAACUGCGUAGAUAUUAGGCGGAACACCAGUGGCGAAGGCGGCUUACUGGACUGUAACUGACGUUGAGGCUCGAAAGCGUGGGGAGCAAACAGGAUUAGAUACCCGUGUAGUC